CUUCUAACUCAGAAGAGUCAGAAUGAAUGUUCCUUGACCUCCUGAACUUCCAACAGUGAAUAUCUUCGAGAUGAGGAUAAAGCCAUCUAGAACGUUCUACAAAGUUUAGUAGAACCAGCCCAUGAGAAAGAAAUGUGCUGCAGUCAACAAAGCUGAAAGGAGUUGGAGAUCUGAAGAGUAUUUGACAUCAGACAUGGAGAUGCAGAGUGUGGAGUUUGCCCAGCUGGUUUUCAGUCUUGCUUUAGUCCAGUAGUUCCUCACUAGGCUCCCUUUUGGAAUGACCCUGUGAGGCUGACAUCUCUCAUAGAGUCGGUCCUCACAACUCACCAACCUACCUGGGAUGAUUGUGAGCAGAUUUUGCAGGUCCUCUUAACCUCGGAGGAGAAGCAGCGCAUUCUAUUAGAAG
rnacentral:lncRNA from 1 species